rnacentral:lncRNA from 1 species
GAAUAGGUAGUGGCUCAAGCUCUGGCGCAAGCAGUCCAGUAUGUAGAAGAUGUGGGAGACCACACAAGGGAGCUUGUCAGUUGGGAUCUUCAGCCUGUUUUAGGUGUGGACAGGAAGGGCAUUUUGCUCGGGAUUGUCCUCAGGUGACUUUUGCACCAUCCCAGCAGAUGAGUUCAGGCAGUGUAGUACAGCCAGCAGCUCCAGCCGUACCACAGAGUAGUGGCAGAGGUAGAGGGAGAGGAUCAGCCUCUACUUCAGCAGCAGGUUCCCGAGGUGGAAAUCUGGUAGCCCCAGCACGGAUUUUCACUGUGACACAGGAGGAGGCUAACACGUCGAACACAGUGGUGUCAGGUAAUCUCAUCAUAGGGUGUUCAGAUGUGUAUGCU